rnacentral:lncRNA from 1 species
GGCGGCGAGGCCGGGGGCUGUGGACCGGCCCGCCGGGGAGGGGCCAGGGAGAGGGGGGCGGCCCCUCGGUCAGCGCGGCCCGGAGGCCAGACCCGGUGCCCAGCUCCCCAGCGGGCGCCUGCCCUGGGCUGUAGUACGGGAGCCUCGGCAGUCUCGGGCGAGAGUUUCGGGAGAGGGUCCCGAGAUCCCGCCUUGCGGGGUUCGGAACCCGGCCCUGGCCCGCGACUCGGACCUACCCCGAGCAGGGCCCCGGUGAGGCCGCGGUGCCCCCGCUUUCAGAGCCCCGCCGCGCGCGGAACCGCAGGAGCAGGACGUCCACCGGCGGUUUGCGAGCGGCGGGCUCGGGAUUCUAGGCUUCUCCUAUUGUGACUAUUUGUAGUUUGUAAGUUUUUUUCUAGUGAACACUGUGGUGCUUUUUCAUUAAGAGCGGCGAUUUUUUCAAGGCGCCUGCAGAAGUUGAGCGGCCCGGCCCCGCAGUGUGAGCGGCCCCUUUCCAGACUGCAGGACUGCGCGUUCCUGGGCCCGGGACCCGGCUCCUCCUCCCUCGGCUCCCCGGCCGGCCCCGCCCCGCCCCCGCCCAUGCCCCGCCCUCCACUCCUGACCCCGCCCCUCCCCCGGCUGCGGCGAAAAUCCGGAGUGGCGGAUUGCCCUCUGCUCCGCGGGAGCCGGCUGUGGGCUCCUGCAGGAGCGGUGCCGGGGGUGCGGCUGACGCCGCUCCGCGCUCCCUCUUCUCACUCUGUCCUGGGCGAGCCACGCGGGGCAGCGCCGCGACCCCAGCCGCCGGCCCUGCCUCAGAAGCGGGUCAGGACCCGACUGAGCAUGCUCGCCCUCCAGCGCAGCGUGGCUCGACCAGGUGGACGCUGCCGGGACCCGGGGUCGGACCGCGCAGGGGAGGCGCAGGCAGUUCAGUCUCUGAGACUCCGCUUCGCAUUCUCCCCAGAACCUCGCUCCACCUCGGAUGCGCUUGAGGUGGGCAUAGGAAUUUGCUUCGAAGCCUGUAACGGAAAAGAAGACGGGAAUGGAGGGCUUACAGGGAAGAGAUUUCACAGGUUCUAG